rnacentral:rRNA from 1 species
ACACUGUACGAGUUUGAUCCUGGCUCAGAACGAACGCUGGCGGCAGGCCUAACACAUGCAAGUCGAGCGAUCCCUUCGGGGAUAGCGGCGGACGGGUGAGUAACGCGUGGGAACGUACCCUUUGCUACGGAAUAGCCUCGGGAAACUGGGAGUAAUACCGUAUGUGCCCUUCGGGGGAAAGAUUUAUCGGCAAAGGAUCGGCCCGCGUUGGAUUAGGUAGUUGGUGGGGUAAUGGCCUACCAAGCCGACGAUCCAUAGCUGGUUUGAGAGGAUGAUCAGCCACACUGGGACUGAGACACGGCCCAGACUCCUACGGGAGGCAGCAGUGGGGAAUCUUAGACAAUGGGCGCAAGCCUGAUCUAGCCAUGCCGCGUGAGCGAUGAAGGCCUUAGGGUUGUAAAGCUCUUCAGUGGGGAAGAUAAUGACUGUACCCACAGAAGAAGCCCCGGCUAACUCCGUG